rnacentral:piRNA from 1 species
UGAUCUUUAACUGAAGUGCAGC